UAAUUGAAGAGUUUGAUCAUGGCUCAGAUUGAACGCUGGCGGCAGGCCUAACACAUGCAAGUCGGGCGGUAACAGGGGGAAGCUUGCUUCUCUGCUGACGAGCGGCGGACGGGUGAGUAAUGUAUGGGGAUCUGCCUGAUGGAGGGGGAUAACUACUGGAAACGGUAGCUAAUACCGCAUAAUGUCUUCGGACCAAAGCGGGGGACCUC
rnacentral:rRNA from 1 species